GGUCUUGUAUUCAUUUUAUGAUGAUAGAAUGCAAUUCUAUUGGAGUGGCUUAUGUUCACUAAGGCUU
rnacentral:tRNA from 1 species